UACAGAGGUCUCAAGCGUUGUUCGGAUUCAUUGGGCGUAAAGGGUGUGUAGGUGGCGCGCUAAGUCGGGUGUGAAAUUUCGGAGCUUAACUCCGAAACUGCAUUCGAUACUGCCGUGCUAGAGGACUGGGAGAGGAGACUGGAAUUUACGGUGUAGCGGUGAAAUGCGUAGAUAUCGUAAGGAAGACCAGUGGCGAAGGCGGGUCUCGUGGACAGUUCCUGACGCUGAGGCACGAAGGCCAGGGGAGCAAACGGG
rnacentral:rRNA from 1 species